rnacentral:rRNA from 1 species
CGGGGGGAGCAAGCGUUGUUCGGAUUUACUGGGCGUAAAGGGCGCGUAGGCGGCCACCGCAAGUCGACUGUGAAAUCUCCGGGCUUAACCCGGAAAGGUCAGCCGAUACUGCGGAGCUAGAGUGCAGAAGGGGCAACUGGAAUUCUCGGUGUAGCGGUGAAAUGCGUAGAUAUCGAGAGGAACACCUGCGGCGAAGGCGGGUUGCUGGGCUGACACUGACGCUGAUGCGCGAAAGCUAGGGGAGCGAACGGGAUUAGAUACCCCGGUAGUCCUAGCCUUAAACGAUGAAUGCUUGGUGUCUGGGGUUUUAUAGUCCCCGGGUGCCGUCGCUAACGCUUUAAGCAUUCCGCCUGGGGAGUACGGUCGCAAGACUG